rnacentral:rRNA from 1 species
GACGAACGCUGGCGGCGUGCCUAACGCAUGCAAGUCGAGCGAUGAAGUUCUUCGGAACGGAUUAGCGGCGGACGGGUGAGUAACGCGUGAGCAAUCUGCCUUACACAAAGGGAUAGCCUCGGGAAACUGGGAUUAAUACCAUAUGACACUUGGUAAUCGCAUGAGGACCAAGUCAAAGAUUUUAUCGGUGUAAGAUGAGCUCGCGUCUGAUUAGCUAGUUGGUGGGGUAAAGGCCUACCAAGGCGACGAUCAGUAGCCGGCCUGAGAGGGUGAACGGCCACACUGGAACUGAGACACGGUCCAGACUCCUACGGGAGGCAGCAGUGGGGAAUAUUGCACAAUGGGCGCAAGCCUGAUGCAGCGACGCCGCGUGAGCGAAGAAGGUUUUCGGAUCGUAAAGCUCUGUCCUCUGAGAAGAAAAAUGACGGUACCAGAGGAGGAAGCCCCGGCUAACUACGUGCCAGCAGCCGCGGUAAAACGUCUA